rnacentral:lncRNA from 1 species
UAGAACAAAACUGGAUUUGAUUUGAUAAUGGUGUCAUUUCUCAGAGGCAAGAAACCUCAACAAACAAAACGAUUCUCUUUCUUCCAGUUUGAUAAGGAGAUUGAAAAUCUAAAAUAGAACAUUGAGAGUUACUUGCUAGCUUCAAUGAACAUACAAAAUGAUUCUCCACCAUUUGAAUGCUGUGGAGAAGAUUGAGAAUAUUGUAAGUAAUAUCAGCAAGAUUCAGACGAAGGUAAUGCAAAUUUUAACCAUAUACAAGACAAAUUAAUGACUGAACCUACUAAUCUAACAAUGUGUGAUGAAGGGAUCAAAUGAUUUGUGAAAAUAGUGUUUGUGAUCACUUUCUUUAGGUACUAUAAGCUAAAUUACCGUGCCAGUAUUUUUCACUUUAGCCUGUAAAUACCUGAAACUCUAAGUAACUGCUUGAUGGAGAACGAAAGUUGUCCAUGUCUGCACAGUACUUGAAAAAUAUCUCAAUUUUCCAUAAACUUACA